UAUUUUUAGGUCAUCAUAUAUGCACAAAUACUAAAUUCCGUUUCCUCGCUCUAAUAAUGCUGUUGAAUAUUACAAAUAUGUGUAACAUCUUAAACUAUUGAUUCAACAAAAUGGAGGAAAACAGAAGGACUUCGCGUUCUUGAAUGAGUACUCAGUACUAGUAAGAAAGGUAGUAUCUUAAUUAUUUAGUAAACACGCCAAACAGGAAGUCGACAUGACGUAAUAAUAUUAUAGAUAAUUCUAUAAAAUUAACAGUAUUUACAAAUAAAACAAUUCUGUUUCAAAUACGUUCGAUCAAACAUGUAAAUUUAUGAAUAAGGGGAUGCAGUAUACUGGCGGAUCAAAGUGAGGAUUCCGGGGGUUGGAACCGCCUUUUUUCUGACGAUCAUUUUUAAAAGUAAAUGCUGGCACGUUAUGGUUGGAACUCUCCACAUCUUGAUUUAGGGUUCGCCCCCUUUUGAAAAUUGCUGGAUCCAAUCAUUGCAAAUUAGAUAAAUAUUCAUCAAGAUUCAAAUACGGGGAUCUGAACAACUAAAGGGUACGAAACGAGUCGAGAUCUAUUAUUAUUCACUGUAAUAUAAUUGUUUUGUAAAAAUGAUUACAAACUAAAUAAUAAUUUGGUGUAGUAAAAGUUGUUCCAUUUCUUUUUAAAACUACCAACACAAUAGCUUGUGUCUCUGAUUGUUAUUCCUCGAGGAUGAUAUAAUCAAAAUAGUUCAAUACUUUGGUAUCACCUCGAUAUCCCAAAGAUACUUGUUUUUGAAACUAGCUGUUUUAAAACUGAAGAAAUCAUUCAAAAGUAAUUCUGAAUAUAUAUAUAAAAAAUCAAUGUGGUAUGUUUGUGGCAAUGCUAAGGAGACAAUUCUCCACAAGAGACCAAAUGACACAGAAACUAACAAGUAUAGGUAUCCGUACAGCCUUCAACAAUGAGCAAAUAUCACACCACAUAGUCAGCUAUGAAAGACCCCGAAAUGACAAUGUAAAACAAUUCAGCUCUGCGGUUGUAUAAAGCUGCGCCCUGCGGAUCAUCUGGUUUUGUCUAGUUUCUGUUGAAGUAACUGCAACCAAGGUUAAAAAAAAAUGCUAGAAACACCUUCAGUAAAUACCGGUAUACGUCAUGACACAUGUACUAUUGAUAACAUUACCGGUACUAAUUUUCCUACACCAGAUGCGCAUUUCCACAAUACAUGUCUCUUCAGUGAUGCUCGUGGCCAAAAUAUUUGAAAUCCAAAGCUAAUAAAAAGUAAAAUCACAAAAAUACUGAACACAGAGGAAAAUCAAUUCGGAAAGUCCAUAAUCACAUGGCAAUAUCAAAUAACAAAACGCAUCAAAAACGAAUGGACAAGAACUGUCAUAUUCCUGACUUGGUACAGGCAUUUUCAAAUGUAGAAAAUGGUGGAUUGAACCUGGUUUUAUAGCUAGCUUAACCUCUAUGAUGAAGAGCUAUAAUCAAAAAGGUCAUUCAAAAGUAAACAAAAAAGUAAACAAGAAAGAGCCUUGGCUCACACCGAACAACAAGCUAUAAAGGGCCCCCAAAUUACUAGUAUAAAACCACUCAAACGGGAAAACCAACGGUCUAAUCUAUAUAAAAUAAAAAAACGAGAAACGGAGAACACGUAUAAAUUACAUAAACAAAUGACAACUACUAAACAUCAGAUUCCUGACUUAGAACAGGUGCAGAUUAAGAACACACAAGCAGGGGUACUGGCCUAGUGCUUGUAUAUGAAUACAAGUACUACAUUUGUAUUUGAGCCAAGGCUCUCUUUACAAAAAAGAUGAAGAGCUAUAAUCAAAAAGGUCCAAAAAGUAAAGCUAAAUCCGUGAAAGGAAUCAGAGCUUUGCAUGAUUUGUAUUAAUAUUCGUCAUACAUUUUUUUCAGAAUGCAUUUUAUCACAAAGCCAAAUUUAGUAUUAAUUUUUAUGAUGUACCUCUUCAUGGACAGUUGUUACGGAUUGUAUUCAAUUAAUUGUAAGUUU
rnacentral:lncRNA from 1 species